rnacentral:tRNA from 1 species
GCCACCUUAGCUCAGUUGGCAGAGCGCGGUCUUCGUAAGACUGAGGCCCCCAGUUCGAUCCUGGGAGGUGGCU